rnacentral:rRNA from 1 species
AUUGAACGCUGGCGGCAUGCCUAACACAUGCAAGUCGAACGAGUGGCGGACGGGUGAGUAAUGUCUGGGAAACUGCCUGAUGGAGGGGGAUAACUACUGGAAACGGUAGCUAAUACCGCAUACCAUCAGAUGUGCUCAGAUUGGAGUAGCUAGUGGCUGGGGUAACGGCUCACCAAGGCGACGAUCCCUAGCAGGUCUGAGAGGAUGACCAGCCACACUGGAACUGAGACACGGUCCAGACUCCUACGGGAGGCAGCAGUGGGGAAUAUUGCACAAUGGGCGAAAGCCUGAUGCAGCCAUGCCGCGUGUAUGAAGAAGGCCUUCGGGUUGUAAAGUACUUUCAGCGGGGAGGCGUUACCCGAAGAAGAAGCACCGGCUAACUCCGUGCCAGCAGCCGCGGUAAUAC